CGUUGUUAAUCAUUAUACUUAUUCUUUCUUUGGUUUUAUUAGAAAAAGUCGACAUUAGGUAUUUAAAGGAAGCAAAUUGUUUAGACUCAACUGGAUACCAGGGACAAAAGUCAAAAGGUUUUU